rnacentral:rRNA from 1 species
AUUGAACGCUGGCGGCAUGCUUUACACAUGCAAGUCGAACGGCAGCAUGGGUGCUUGCACCUGAUGGCGAGUGGCGAACGGGUGAGUAAUGUAUCGGAACAUAUCCGCAAGUGGGGGAUAACGUAGCGAAAGUUACGCUAAUACCGCAUAUUCCCUGAGGGGGAAAGGAGGGGAUCGGCAAGGACCUUACGCUUACGGAGUGGCCGAUAUCAGAUUAGCUAGUUGGUGAGGUAAAGGCUAAACAAGGCGACGAUCUGUAGCGGGUCUGAGAGGAUGAUCCGCCACACUGGGACUGAGACACGGCCCAGACUCCUACGGGAGGCAGCAGUGGGGAAUUUUGGACAAUGGGGGCAACCCUGAUCCAGCCAUGCCGCGUGAGUGAAGAAGGCCUUCGGGUUGUAAAGCUCUUUCAGCCGGAAAAAAAUCGCAUCACCUAAUACGUGGUGUGGAUGAUGGUACCGGAAGAAGAAGCACCGGCUAACUACGUGCCAGCAGCCGCGGUAACAC